CGGGCCGCUGCAGCAGUAGGGAAUAUUGGGCAAUGGACGCAAGUCUGACCCAGCCAUGCCGCGUGCAGGAUGAAGGCGUUAUGCGUUGUAAACUGCUUUUAUACAGGAAGAAACGACUCUUGCGAGAGGCAUUGACGGUACUGUAUGAAUAAGCACCGGCUAACUCCGUGCCAGCAGCCGCGGUAAUACGGAGGGUGCAAGCGUUGUCCGGAUUUAUUGGGUUUAAAGGGUGCGCAGGUGGUUUAUUAAGUCAGUGGUGAAAGACGGUCGCUCAACGAUUGCAGUGCCAUUGAAACUGGUAGACUUGAGUAAAGUAGAGGUGGGCGGAAUUGAUAGUGUAGCGGUGAAAUGCAUAGAUAUUAUCAAGAACUCCAAUUGCGUAGGCAGCUCACUUGGCUUUUACUGACACUCAUGCACGAAAGUGUGGGUAUCAAACAGGAUUAGAUACCCGUGUAGUC
rnacentral:rRNA from 1 species